ensembl:lncRNA
CUGAGAGGACUCUAUAACCUAAUUCACAACUGGUCUGCACUUUACCUUGUUAGGAUUUCACUUACUGUUACUGUACUGUUAAUUUAUAUUGCACACCAUCCAUCCAUUGUCAAACCGCUUAUCCUGCACGCAGGGUCGCGCGCGGGGGGGGGGGGGGGGGGCGGGGGGCUGGAGUCCAUCCCAGCCAACUUCGGGCGAUAGACAGGGUACAUCCUGGACUGGUCGCCAGCCAAUCGCAGGGCUAACACAGAGACACACAACCAUUCACACUCACAUUCAUACAUCUACGGGCAAUUUAGAGUCCCCAAUUAACCUGAUCCCCAGAACAUGUCUUCGGACUGUGGGAGGAAGCUGGAGAACCCGGAGAGAACCCACGCAGACAUGUAUAUAUAUAUGUCUGCACAUUUCAUUUCAUUUAAGAUUUUCUUGCUCAGUUUUGCACUUUUCCCCUUACCUCAUUUGUGCCUUAUCCUUACCUCAUUUUUAUUUUUAGUUCAUAUACAUUUAUUUAUUUAUUUAUAUUUUAUUUUUAAAAUUGGUCGGCUUCCCAGAAAAGGCAAGCAAGAAUUUCAAUACACAGCGGGUGUGUAAUUGACAAUAAAAUUCUUUGAAUCUUAACAGACAUAGUUGAAACACGUACGAGGAAUAGGGCCCUGGUCCGUCUACAUCCAGAAUAUGGUCAAUCGUUGCGUCCCUGCCCGCUCACUUCACUCUGCAUCUGCUAAUCUCAGGGAUCUGGGCAUCAACACCUCUCUUAGUAACUGGAUACUGGACGUUCUAACUGUUACCCUCAUUAAAUGAGGGCUAAUAAUAUCAGGAGUAGUAAAAGUUACUGCCUAAAGAGGGCGCACUUGAAUCAAAGAAAAAAAAAUGGGAUUCCUUCUUGAUCAGACCCGUAAGUGCGCGGAGAGCAAAUCCAGUCUCGGUCACCAUCCCAGGUUCAAGAAAAAAUCCACAUACCUAUCCACCAUGGCACUCGAGGCAUUCGAACUUGCCGACAACAAACUGCCAACGUUGUUGUCAACUCAGCACUGAAUUCUUCUGCUGUCUUUAUCAAAGGGAGCGAAAACAUUAAGAAAUAUGUGUCCUUUCGUUACCAGAUGACAAGUAACAUACCAUCGCCUAAGAAGCAUGGAUUAAUCAGCUCAAUAACAGAGAGCUAAUUGUGGAAGCUCCGAAUCGGAUGCAGAAAAAAGCGGUCAAAAUGGUCAAGCUGUUUGCUAAACACGAUAAACUACAAAUAAAUAAAAAUAUAAUCGAAUGAGUGAUUUUAUAUUUUGUUUGUUUUGGUUAAAAGAAUUGAAGAAAAUACUUUGAAUCUUUAAACUGCCUAAUAGUCUUAUUACUGCCAGUGAUGACAAUAGCAUAUACACUAAGCCCAAAUAAGUAUAUUUAUUGUUUUUAACAAAGGUUAAAUGAGUGAACAUUUUCAAAAAAUGCCCCCUGGUAUUCAGUCAGCGGGGGCAAAAAUUGCACCCUAAAUAAUAUGUACAUUCCCUAGCCUCCACUGCAUACUUUUGUCAAAUAAAACAAAUGUUGAGUUGAUCCUGUGUGCCUAAAAAGUCCUCACUGUUAAGGAAACAUCUCAUUAGUCCUUUUUUUUUUUUACUAUUUUAAUUGAUUUAAUAUAAAUCACUUUUUAAUUGAGUUAAUGAAACUCAAAACCUGGGUUGUGGGAUUUAAACAGAUGAGAAAAACAUACCUUGUGAAAGUGCAACUCUUUGCCCACUGCAUCACUGGGACUUAUUUUGAUCUUCUUCUAUCCAGUUGUGGGUGGCAAGAGAUGAAGCAGCAGCAGAAAAACAUAUCUUGUGUAUUUGUUGUUAACCCGGAAAUACCUUUUUAAUUUACACAAGGUUCUUCCUCACCUGCAUUGAUGAAUUCCAAAUAAGUGAAACCAAUCAGUAAUCGGACGAACGUUAUGGUACUCUGGUAUUUCACCUUCAGCAGCAUGAUGGAGUGGAAGACACGAGCAGUUCUCUCUUUAAGACCCUCCUCCUGAAAAGCCUAGCCUGCUGUGAUUGUUCGGCAAUUUUCCAUUGUCUAUAUUUAUAUACAUCCCAUUGGAUCCAAAUGCUUUUAUAGUAAAUACUACUAAGCAACAAUGUGUUUUUUUUUCUUUAUGUGUGAUGCAAAAGAGUCUUCAGCCAAAUAAAUUAUAAUUAAUGCCAUCAUUUACAAGACCAGGACCACUAAAAUGACACUGUCAAAAUCUACAUAUUUAAAUCAUAUGGUUUCUUUUGAUUGUUUUCUUAAUUGAUCAACAUUUCUUUGUAUGUUCUAAGAUGGAAUGUGUAAAGCAUUAGGAACAUGAAUAAUAUUGUACCUUUACAGAUCCUAGUUUCUCUUUCGGUGUGUUCAGCCACAACGUAGCCCAAGUUAGCCCUAAAGGUCAAAUUAAAGUCAGCAUGGCGUUGACAGGCUCUACUGGGGUUGAAAGUGAGUUAGAAGAUGGAUGUAAGAGUAAACCUCUCCCUCUUGUGUACUGAUUAAGAGGCCUUAUUGGCAUGUACAUCUGUAUUAACACGGCCAUCGGUGACCCUCCGGUGUGUGUAUGUGUCUGGACGGGCGAGACGCAAAGAGCCCUGCCAGAUUGAUUCACAAAAGGAAAGGGCUGCUUCACGCUUGUCACAGGAACUCAGGGGGGUUUGAAUAAAACUUCAGGCGGGAGGGUUGGACUCAACACACACCCAGACUAUAAGU